AGAGUUUGAUCAUGGCUCAGAAUCAACGCUGGCGGCGUGCCUAACACAUGCAAGUCGAGCGAGAAAAGGGGGGCAACUCCCUGAGUAAAGCGGCGCACGGGUGAGUAACACGUGGGUAAUCUGCCCUGGAGUGGGGAAUAACACCGGGAAACCGGUGCUAAUACCGCAUACGAUAGCGGAGUCUUCGGAUUUCGUUAUGAAAGGAGCAAUUCGCUCUAGGAGGAGCCCGCGGCUGAUUAGCUAGUUGGUGAGGUAAUGGCUCACCAAGGCUUCGAUCAGUAUCCGGUCUGAGAGGACGGUCGGACACACUGGAACUGAGACACGGUCCAGACUCCUACGGGAGGCAGCAGUGGGGAAUUUUUCGCAAUGGGGGCAACCCUGACGAAGCAACGCCGCGUGGGUGAUGAAGUCUCUUGGGACGUAAAACCCUUUCGACGGGGAAGAAAACCGCAAGGUUUGACGGUACCCGUAGAAGAAGCCCCGGCUAACUCCGUGCCAGCAGCCGCGGUAAUACGGGGGGGGCAAGCGUUGUUCGGAAUUACUGGGCGUAAAGGGUGCGUAGGCGGUCCGCUAAGUUGGAUGUGAAAACUCUGGGCUUAACCCAGAGCCUGCAUUCAAAACUGACGGGCUAGAGUUCUGGAGGGGGUAGCGGAAUUCCUGGUGUAGCGGUGAAAUGCGUAGAUAUCAGGAGGAACACCGGUGGCGAAGGCGGCUACCUGGACAGAAACUGACGCUGAGGCACGAAAGCUAGGGGAGCAAACAGGAUUAGAUACCCUAGUAGUCC
rnacentral:rRNA from 1 species